rnacentral:rRNA from 1 species
UGGGGGAUAUUGCACAAUGGGCGAAAGCCUGAUGCAGCGACGCCGCGUGGGGGAUGAAGGCCUUCGGGUUGUAAACUUCUUUUGCUCUGAACAAGGCGCACCAUGGGGUGUGUUGAGUGUAGGGGUUGAUUAGCGCCGGCUAACUACGUGCCAGCAGCCGCGGUAAUACGUAGGGCGCGAGCGUUGUCCGGAAUUAUUGGGCGUAAAGGGCUUGUAGGUGGCUGGGUGCGUCUGUCGUGAAAGCUCAUGGCUUAACUGUGGGUUUGCGGUGGGUACGGGCUGGCUUGAGUGCAGUAGGGGAGGCUGGAAUUCCUGGUGUAGCGGUGGAAUGCGCAGAUAUCAGGAGGAAUACCGGUGGCGAAGGCGGGUCGCUGGGCUGUUACUGACACUGAGGAGCGAAAGCAUGGGGAGCGAACAGG